rnacentral:rRNA from 1 species
AUACGGAGGGUCCGAGCGUUAUCCGGAAUCAUUGGGUUUAAAGGGUCCGUAGGCGGGAAUCUAAGUCAGUGGUGAAAUCUUGCAGCUCAACUGUAAAAUUGCCAUUGAUACUGGAUUUCUUGAAUUGGUGUGAAGUGGUUAGAAUGUGUAGUGUAGCGGUGAAAUGCAUAGAUAUUACACAGAAUACCAAUUGCGAAGGCAGAUCACUAACACUAUAUUGACGCUGAGGGACGAAAGCGUGGGGAGCGAACAGGAUUAGAAACCCCUGUAGUCC